rnacentral:rRNA from 1 species
AUGCCGGUCGAAGAUACCAGGCCGCUGCGACUGUUUAUUAAAAACACAGCACUCUGCAAACACGAAAGUGGACGUAUAGGGUGUGACGCCUGCCCGGUGCCGGAAGGUUAAUUGAUGGGGUUAGCGCAAGCGAAGCUCUUGAUCGAAGCCCCGGUAAACGGCGGCCGUAACUAUAACGGUCCUAAGGUAGCGAAAUUCCUUGUCGGGUAAGUUCCGACCUGCACGAAUGGCGUAACGAUGGCGGCGCUGUCUCCACCCGAGACUCAGUGAAAUUGAAAUCGCUGUGAAGAUGCAGUGUAUCCGCGGCUAGACGGAAAGACCCCGUGAACCUUUACUAUAGCUUUGCACUGGACUUUGAAUUUGCUUGUGUAGGAUAGGUGGGAGGCUUUGAAGUGGGGACGCCAGUUCUCAUGGAGCCAUCCUUGAAAUACCACCCUGGCAACUUUGAGGUUCUAACUCAGGUCCGUUAUCCGGAUCGAGGACAGUGUAUGGUGGGUAGUUUGACUGGGGCGGUCUCCUCCCAAAGAGUAACGGAGGAGUACGAAGGUGCGCUCAGACCGGUCGGAAAUCGGUCGUAGAGUAUAAAGGCAAAAGCGCGCUUGACUGCGAGACAAACACGUCGAGCAGGUACGAAAGUAGGUCUUAGUGAUCCGGUGGUUCUGUAUGGAAGGGCCAUCGCUCAACGGAUAAAAGGUACUCCGGGGAUAACAGGCUGAUACCGCCCAAGAGUUCAUAUCGACGGCGGUGUUUGGCACCUCGAUGUCGGCUCAUCACAUCCUGGGGCUGAAGCCGGUCCCAAGGGUAUGGCUGUUCGCCAUUUAAAGUGGUACGCGAGCUGGGUUUAGAACGUCGUGAGACAGUUCGGUCCCUAUCUGCCGUGGACGUUUGAGAUUUGAGAGGGGCUGCUCCUAGUACGAGAGGACCGGAGUGGACGAACCUCUGGUGUUCCGGUUGUCACGCCAGUGGCAUUGCCGGGUAGCUAUGUUCGGAAGAGAUAACCGCUGAAAGCAUCUAAGCGGGAAACUUGCCUCAAGAUGAGAUCUCACUGGGAUCUUGAAUCCCCUAAAGGGCCGUCGAAGACUACGACGUUGAUAGGUUGGGUGUGUAAGCGCUGUGAGGCGUUGAGCUAACCAAUACUAAUUGCCCGUGAGGCUUGACCA